AGGGGCAGCAUGACCUAGCAAUAGGUUGAUGGCGACCGGCGCACGGGUGAGUAACACGUAUCCAACCUACCGGUUAUUCCGGGAUAGCCUUUCGAAAGAAAGAUUAAUACCGGAUAGUAUAACGAGAAGGCAUCUUUUUGUUAUUAAAGAAUUUCGAUAACCGAUGGGGAUGCGUUCCAUUAGUUUGUUGGCGGGGUAACGGCCCACCAAGACAUCGAUGGAUAGGGGUUCUGAGAGGAAGGUCCCCCACAUUGGAACUGAGACACGGUCCAAACUCCUACGGGAGGCAGCAGUGAGGAAUAUUGGUCAAUGGACGAGAGUCUGAACCAGCCAAGUAGCGUGAAGGAUGACUGCCCUAUGGGUUGUAAACUUCUUUUAUAUGGGAAUAAAGUGAGCCACGUGUGGCUUUUUGUAUGUACCAUACGAAUAAGGAUCGGCUAACUCCGUGCCAGCAGCCGCGGUAAUACGGAGGAUCCGAGCGUUAUCCGGAUUUAUUGGGUUUAAAGGGAGCGUAGGCGGACUAUUAAGUCAGCUGUGAAAGUUUGCGGCUCAACCGUAAAAUUGCAGUUGAUACUGGUCGUCUUGAGUGCAGUAGAGGUAGGCGGAAUUCGUGGUGUAGCGGUGAAAUGCUUAGAUAUCACGAAGACUCCGAUUGCGAAGGCAGCUUACUGGACUGUAACUGACGCUGAUGCU
rnacentral:rRNA from 1 species